UAAAUUAGUAUAAGUUAUAUUCUUUAAAGUUAAAGAUUUUGGCGGUAUUUUAGUCUAUUCAGAGGAACCUGUUCUAUAAUCGAUAAUCCACGUUUAAUUUGACUUAUUUUAUUAAUUUGUAUAUCGUCGUAGAUUGAAUAUUUUUAAAGAAUUAUAAUAUUCAAGAUUUAUAAUUAUUAAAAGAAAUCAGAUCAAGGUGCAGUUUAUAAAUAAGGAGAAAUGGGUUACAAUAAUUGAAAGUUUUAGUUUAUAAAUUGAGAUAUUUAUAUUAAAUUGGAUUUGAAAGUAAUUUAAUUUAUUUUAAUUAAAUGAUUUAAGCUCUAAAAUAUGCACACAUCGCCCGUC
rnacentral:rRNA from 1 species